rnacentral:rRNA from 1 species
CCUACGGGGGGCAGCAGUGAGGAAUAUUGGUCAAUGGGCGCGAGCCUGAACCAGCCAAGUAGCGUGAAGGAUGACUGCCCUACGGGUUGUAAACUUCUUUUAUAAAGGAAUAAAGUGAGGCACGUGUGCCUUUUUGUAUGUACUUUAUGAAUAAUGAUCGGCUAACUCCGUGCCAGCAGCCGCGGUAAUACGGAGGAUCCGAGCGUUAUCCGGAUUUAUUGGGUUUAAAGGGAGCGUAGAUGGGUUGUUAAGUCAGUUGGUAAAGUUUGGGGCUCAACCGUAAAAUUGCAAUGGAUACUGGCAGCAUUGAGUACAGUUGAGGUAGGCGGAAUGCGUGGUGUAGCGGUGAAAUGCUUAGAUAUCACGAAGAACUUCGAUUGCGAAGGCAGCUUACUAAACUGCCACUGACAUUGAUGCUCGAAAGUGUGGGUAUCAAACAGGAUGAGAUACCCUAGUAGGC